UGAAACCUCCCAGCGUGAAUGCAGACAAACCUCCUCUUUAUUUGCUUUAUAUCACACAGCUCACACAUCAGUUGCAAGUCCAUGGCAACGUGAGAACACCACGUAGUUUCCAAACCAUUAUAAUAUACUGUUAAUUAAUUGUUAGGAAUUGUUAUGGCCUUAAGAUAGAGUUAUUUGUGGCAAAUAAUUAGGGAACCUUGGAUUGGCGUAGAUUAUAUUUAGACAAUAUAUCUUAAUUGCAUACAAAGGCAAAACUGUUGACAAUUUAUUUUAGUGUAUCAAGCUUUGACCUCUGUGACACACUGAACAUAGGGAGAAAAGUGUUAUUUAAAAAUUACAAACAACUCACAUUAGCUUACGUGGCCAUUGAAAAUAAAAACAGCCAAUGUAAAUGAAUAAGGUAUGCUAAUGCUAUGCUAAUAUUACUGGGCAUAUCAAUGACUCAUUCUCAAAUCCUUGACUAACUGAAAGUAUGAAACUAGCCUUCCAUCCAGACAUCAAUCAAUGGAAGAAAUGAAGUGGGAAUAACUUUAAAGUGCUUGAGGUGAAUGAUGCCUGCCAAGGCCUUCCCACCCAGCAGGAUCCUGAGAUGAUGUGUUCCUGAAGAGGGUUGGAGCAACCUGCUCUAGACACACAAACACACACACACACACACACACACACACACACACACACACACACACACACACACGUAGGGUAUGCCUAUCCUUAUGGGGCCCGCUCAUUCACUUCUAUGGUUAGCUAACGCUAACUAUGACAACCUUAACCCCCACCCUGCCCUAACCAUAACCAUAAGUAACCAAGCAAAAUGCAAGAGUUUUUGCAUUUUUAGUUUUUCCAUAGCAGUCACUGAUUUUUAUAAAGUAGAGUUUUCCCUUAUGGGGACCAGGAAACCGGUCCCCAUAAGGGAAAAAAUUUAUAUUUAUCACGUUAUGGGGACAUUGUGUCCCCAUAAGGAUAGGUAUACCCACUCACACACUCAUACACAGUCCAUAUAGUUAUAUCUCUGCGAGGACUCUCCAUUCAUUUCUAUGGUCAAAACCCUAAUCCCAACAAUGACAACCUUAACCCCUACCCAGCCCUAACCUUAACCAGAAGAAUUUUGGCAUUUUUAGUGUUUUGAUUGCUGUCACAGAUUUCUAUAAAAUUAUAUAAAAUCCCUGUGGGGACCAAAAAAUGUAGAACAGUUAAAAAGAAUCAAGUUUUUAUUACAUUGUUGGUUCGCUGGACGAUAUAAUACAUACAAAACCACACGCAGACAAAGACACACACACACAACCCAAAAAAAUCCUAGAGAGGCCCUGAUCUAGUUAAAAUAUUUAAAGAUGAAAAUGGCUAUAGUUUAAAUAGUUACCUAAAAAUGUUAUCUAAAGAAUCUGUUAUGGGAAGAAGCUACUUCCGUCCAGCGUAAUGAGUGAGCGAUAUGGACACAGUGGUUACAUUUCACAUAGCUAGGCUGGAGAUUACACUGCCACCUCUGCCCUAAAACACACACACAGACCGUCACACUGCCACGCAUAUACACACUAACACAAAGGUCAAAGGGUGGAAAGCACAAACCAAUGGAGGGCGAGAUGGUCUUCAUUGUGCGAGUCAUUUGUCCACAUUCUUCUGUUUCUGGGUACUUCCUGCUCAUUCUCAGUGAUUAAUAACACUGAAAAAAACUUGAAACACACGUUGACACCAACACAUUAACAGAAGUGCCAAAGAACCAGAGCUGUAUUAGUCAAUUGUGUCAAAAGUCAGGCCAGAUGAUGCAUCAUUCCAAGACGACAGAGGUGGUGGCACAGUGAUUGAGGACAUAGACUUGAAAUUUGAAUGCUGUUGAUUCAUAAUCCAGGAAAACAUGCCAUUUAACCUUUUCCAGCCAUUAAAAAAAGGAAAACGGCAAAUACUUUUGGGCAUAAAUGAGGACAGAAAGCACAAGGAUGUUAGAGCAUGGGGGAAAGACUGCUACGGAAUGAGCAGACAUGAGCAAUUCAGCAGUAGAAGACAAGAAGGAACCAAUUAUGCCACAGUCAUAGGAGCCUGAGGUCCUGUUUUGGGGGUGCGCAGUGUACAUGAUGUCAACAGUCCACUGCCAGGCACACAGAGCCGAGGAUGACCUGCGAGGCCUCAUUAGGGUAAUUCUAUCAGGGUCGGCCUAUCCGCUUACAUAACAUCAUUAAGCAUCUCCACAGACCACGCCCACUCACUGUCUGGACUUCAGUGCAGUGGGAUUCUAAUUGCAGUGCGAAGAUAGCACGUUCUGAUUCCAUCCCAGAACCCAGGCCCCAGCAUUCCAGAUCACCAGAACAGGGCCUUUGUCAUUGCCGGUGUGUUUUCGGGUCAGAACAGCACCAGCCGGCCAACCCAAACCGCCGUUACUCAAAUACAAACAGCUGAGGGCAUCUGUUUGGGUUACUCUGGAAGGGAUGAAAGACUAAAGCUCUGGAGGGCCUUUGUGUUCAUGUUUACAGGCUUUCGGAUCACAUUAUGAAACCACAUGGGAAAUAUAACAGGAACCUUUGGUCAACAGAGACUUGUGAGGAUUUCUGAUGAUGGGGGUGGGGGUAAUUAAAAAACACAAGACAUGAACAUGAUGUACAGAAAGCUGAGGGCAAGGCAUCGAACCCCCAACCCUGGAGCCAUGUGACUAGUGUCAUGGAGCCACACUGCAUACCUAGUAUUGGGACACAAAUCUAAAUUCAGGUGUUCCAUUCGGACCUAUUGCCAUAAGUGUAUAAAAUCAAGCACCCAGCCAUGCCAGGAUGUCAGGUUCACAAACAUUGGUGAAAGAACUAGUCGUUCCGAAUUCAGUCAUGGUCCUGUCAAAGGAUGCUACCCUUGCAGUCAGUUUCUGAAUUUCCUCCCUUGCUAGAUAUUCCACGGUCAACUAUAAGUGGUAUUACUGUAAAGUGGUAACGUUUAGGAACAAUGGAAAUUCAGCUGUGAAGUGGAAGACCACUUAAAGUAACAGAGCGGCUCGCCGUGUGCCGAGGUGCACAGUGCGUAAGAGUCGCCAACGCUCUGUUGGUUCACUAACUGCAGAGGUCCAAACUUCCUCUGGCAUUAACCUCAGCACAAAAUCUGCGUACUGGGAGCUUCAUGAAAUGAGCAGCUGUAUGCAAGCCUCACAUCACCAAGCGCAAUGCCAAGCGUCAGAUGGACACCGCCACUGGACUCUGGAGCAGUGGAAAGACGUUCUGUGGAGUGACCAAUCACGUUUUUCUGUCUGGCAGUCUGAUGGAGUAGUCUGGGUUUGGUGGAUGCCAGGAGAACAUUGCCUGUCUGAAUGCACCAAAUGUAAAGUUUGGUGGAGGAGGGAUAAUGGUAUGGGGUUGUUUUUCAGGAACUGUUCCUGAAUUAGUUCCAGUGAAGAGAAAACUUAAUUCUUCAUUGUACCAAGGCAUUUUGGACAAUUCUAUGCUUCCAACUUUGUGGGAACAGUUAGAGGAAGGUCCUUUCUGCUCCAGCAUAAAUGUGCCCCUGUGCACAAAGCAAGGUCCAUAAAAACAUGGUUGGGAGUGUCUGGUGUGGAGGAAUUUGAGCGGCCUGCACAGAACCCUGAACUCAGUCCCUCUGAACACCUUUGGGAUGAACCAGAACGGAGACAGUGAGCCAGGCCUUCACGAACAACAUCAGUGCCUGACCUCACAAAUGCUCUCCUGGAUGAAUGGGCAGAAAUUCCCACAGUCAAACUCCAAAGGGGGGGACCAGCUCCAUAUUGGUGCCUAUGGAUUUAGAAUGGGACGUCAUAAAAAUUCCUAAACCAGGCGAACAUCCUACUGUUGGCUUGAACUUGUGACGUGCGACCUCAGGCUUGCCCCGGACAUCACGACGCAGGGCUUCCCCUGACUCUGAGCCUUUCAGCUCUGACCUCGUCGCAGGUGGGGGGCGCUGUCUGACUCUACUCUCUGAUGCUCACCGUUAUGUCGCUUUGGACAAAAGCAUCCAGAAAAUAAAUGUAAAAAAAAAAAAAAAAAAAAAAUCUCAAUCCUUAAAGCCUUAAAUAAAAUCCAGCUUCAGUCAUGGUGGCGUAGUUUGUCGCAGUGAAGCCAGAUACAAACAAACAUUGGUUUGGUCAUCAGGCAGAAAAGGCACUGAAAUGACUUCAACGAGAUUCCUGGUGAACUUCACCUUCACUGGCGUUAACUGGCACAGACUUUUGUGACACCAGUAAUACUCAGCAGUCACCUUGCUGGGGUGGAAAAUGGCUGUCAGCCACAUCUUCCUAAUCCUCUGGAAGUACGUCAAGUGUUGUGCAGUGAACGUUUCCCGAAGGCAGCGCUCUCACUGUGCAUCCGCCCUGCUUACGUACAAGAAUCGCAGAAAGACUUCAAACCAGUGCCCACCCAGCCUAAGAACACUUCCCUCCCCCUGACGGAAAAGCAAAACCUUGUUUCACUCAGAUUUACUAACAAGCCAACAUCUGUUCGGCAGGAAAACAACGUUGCAUCACGCUGGGCACAAGAAAAACAAAUUAAGAACGAAACCUCCCUUUCAGAGACACAUGGACGGAUUUCACUGCUUUUCCUUGGCUUCGUUCUAUGGCAAGUAACAAAACUCACAUACACAUUUGAUA